CGUAAGAAUCGAAAUGAGCAGAUUAAUAAUCAACGCAGUUUUGUUACUGAUAGUGCAUGAAUUAUAUUCUGUAGCCACAGCUACCGAUCAAGAGACAUGUGAAUCCGAUCGACGGAUGGAAGAACAAUGCCGGAUUCAUAAUUAUAAAACUGUGAAACCUUUACUUGACUAUUUUAGGCAAGUUCGAAAUGAGUUAGAAGACAAAGAAAUUAAAGAAAAUAAAUUAAAUGGAUUAAAUUCUGAUCUUAUGGAAAAAUAUCAUGAAAUUGUAAGAAUUCAUGAAAAAUUUGUAAAGGAGGCAGCUCUAUUAGAUGAGUAUAAAAACAAAGUAAUUAAAGGGGAAAACGAUUUGCAAUUAUGUAAAAAUAGAGUUGAUAAGUUAGAAUCUGAGAUUAAUUCACAACAAAAUGUAAUUGUGAAAUUAAAAGGAGAAUUAGCUGAGAAGUCCAACAACUUAGAAAAUUGCGAAAUUCAAUACAAAACUCUUAAUUCUAGUUUAUUUGAAAAAGAUGAAAAUAUAAAGAGAUUUAGUGAGAAUAUUCAAAAUAAUACUGAGCAUCAGAAAACACUUGAAUUGCAAUUAGAGCAGAGUAAAACUAAAUUAAUAAUGAAAGAUAAAGAUAAUCAGCUAUGUCGAGCUGAAAUUGAUACAUUGCAUAAGACUUUAAUUAAUACUCUCAUCCCAUCAAGUUGCUCUCCUUUUGGAGAUUAUCCUGGUGUUCAUGAAAUAAGAGUUUCUGGCAUAGGUUCCGUCGAUGUUUUAUGCGAUAGUCAUUUAGCUGGACCUGGAUGGAUUGUAAUACAACAACGAGUUGGGGGAAAUGAGAGUUUCAAUAGGGAUUGGGCAACGUAUCGCAAGGGUUUUGGUGAAAUGGAUAGCGACUUCUUCCUCGGGCUCGAGAAAAUACAUCGUAUCACGAGUUUGCAGCGAUUCGAACUUUAUAUACAUUUGGUUGCUCUGAAUGGAAGUACCUACAACGCUCGUUAUGACGACUUCAAAAUAUCUGAUGAAGACAGUGGAUAUAAACUGAGUUUGGGUAAAUUCAGUGGAACUAUUAUUGAGGAUGCGAUGAGAGACGGCGAGGACGAGAAAUUCACAACAUUCGAUCGCGACAACGAUGAAGAUUUAAGUACCAACUGUGCGAACUAUUUCAAUUGUGGCUGGUGGUACCAUAAUUGUUAUAAUUGUAAUUUAAAUGCACUAUAUGGGUCAGAUCUAAAUUGGUACCGACGAAAUCCAUUGAAAGAAGCUAAGAUGCUAAUUCGGCCCAAAAAAGCAAUACAUGAAAAAGUCAUGAAGGAGGUAGUUCAAUUCGAUGAAUAUAAAAGUAAAAUACAGAAAGGGGAAAACGAUUUGCAAUUGUGUCAAAAUAGAGUUGAUAAAUUGGAAUCUGAGAACAAUUCCCAAAAAAAAAUCAUUGACAAUUUAGGCCCAAUUUCCAAACUUUUCGAGAAUUACGAUAAAUGUAAAGAAGAAUUAACAAGUGAAUCCAAUAAGUUAUUACAUUAUUAAAAAAGUUCAAUUCUAGUCUUCUUGAAAAGGAUACACAUAUCUCUGAAUAUACUGCAAAAAUCCAAAAUGUAAUGGAAUAUCAGGAAAAAAUUCAGUUGCAAUUGGAGGAGAGUCAAAGCAAGUUACAAAAGCAAGAUAAGAAUAAUGAAAUUUGUAAUGCAGAAGUUGAUAAACUAGUUAGAUUUGUCAACGCAUCUAGUUGCAUUCCGUUUGCAAACUCUCCUGGUAUUUAUAAGAUACAAGUUUCUGGAGUUGAUUUCUUCGAUGUUUUAUGCGAUAGUCAGUUGGCUGGGCCAGGAUGGGUUGUUAUACAACAGCGAGUUGGUGGAAAGAAGAGAUUCAAUAGGGAUUGGGCCACCUACCGCGAAGGCUUCGGUUCCAUGGACAGCGAUUUUUUCCUCGGUUUGGAGAAAAUCUUUCGUCUGUCGAACUCUCGACGCCACGAGCUUUAUGUGCAUUUGGUGGAACUUAAUGGCACUAUAUACUAUGCUCGUUACGACGACUUUAAAAUAUCCGAUGAAAAUAAUGGAUACGCACUGAGUUUGGGUGGAUUUAUGGGAAAUGUUUCUGAUGCGAUGAGAAUUAGUGAAAAUCUAAAAUUCAUAACAUUCGAUCGUGGCGACGAUAAAAGAUGCGCGGAUCAUUACAAAAGUGGCUGGUGGUACAAGAGCUGUUAUAAUUGUAACUUAAAUGCUGUCUAUGGAACAAACUUUAAUUGGUAUUUGAUUUUGUUCUAAUGGAUUAAAUAAAUGAAUA